CCUACGGGAGGCAGCAGUCGGGAAUUUUGCGCAAUGGACGAAAGUCUGACGCAGCAACGCCGCGUGAGGGAUGAAGGCCUUCGGGUUGUAAACCUCUUUUCUCAGGGACGAUAAUGACGGUACCUGAGGAAGAAGCCACGGCUAACUACGUGCCAGCAGCCGCGGUAAUACGUAGGUGGCAAGCGUUGUCCGGAUUUACUGGGCGUAAAGAGCGCGCAGGCGGUCGUACAAGUCGCGUGUGAAAGCCCCCGGCUCAACUGGGGAGGGUCACGCGAUACUGUUCGACUCGAAGGCAGGAGAGGGAAGUGGAAUUCCCGGUGUAGUGGUGAAAUGCGUAGAUAUCGGGAGGAACACCAGUGGCGAAGGCGACUUCCUGGCCUGUUCUUGACGCUGAGGCGCGAAAGCUAGGGUAGCAAACGGGAUUAGAUACCCCUGUAGU
rnacentral:rRNA from 1 species